AGCAGGAGGACGUCACGGCCAAACCGAUGCACCAGCUCCGCAUCAUCCGGCACUUGCGCCAAGUGCCUGAGGCACUGCAGGGGCUGUGCCUCUGAGGCCAUCAGCAACUCCCGCUCCCUGCUGCAGGGUUGAGCAUCCAUGAGGCCGAAGACCUGUGGUGCUGGGACUGGCACCAGGACAGCAGGCUACUGGGCUACAGGAACACAGCUAGGGUGGGAGAGGUCUUCGGAAAGUUCUUCUCGGAAGGGCAGAGAAGACUCUGCCUC